GACGAGGGGUCCUAGCGUUGUUCGGAAUCACUGGGCGUAAAGCGUAUGUAGGCGGGCUUCUAAGUCGGGGGUGAAAUCCCAUGGCUCAACCAUGGAAUUGCAUUCGAAACUGGAAGUCUUGAGUGUGGGAGAGAUUGGUAGAAUACCUGGUGUAGUGGUGAAAUACGUAGAUAUCAGGUGGAAUACCGGUGGCGAAGGCGGCCAAUUGGCCCAACACUGACGCUGAGAUACGAAAGCGUGGGGAUCAAACAGG
rnacentral:rRNA from 1 species